ensembl:lncRNA
UGAUUAUAAGCUGGGUUAGCAAGAACAGCCCUCCUUUUUACUUUCCUUCAGGGAAGGACAGGGUUAAAAAACCUUAGUCUGACUUUGCCUCUUGGAAAGCCUUGGGUUGCAGCCCUGCCUUCCAAGCAUUCUUUAAACUAGAAAUGUGGGAGGGCCUCCAGGAGGGAGAGAGAAAGAGGGAGAGGGCUCUUAGAGGAGGGAGAGCUAGAGAGCAAGCCAGAGAGGAGCGAGAUGGCUAUCAGCUGAAUUCAUUACUGUAAACAUCUCCCAGGGGUGUCAGGCUGGGGGGCGGGGAAGGCGGGGGCGAGGCACGACUUACAUUAGCGGGGAAUAGUCAAACCUGAGGCAUCGUUACUGCUAAGAUCAACCUCGCAAUCCCCGUCUGAAGAAGGCUCAAGACUUGGAGCUAGACACACGCGCGCGCGUGCACACACUCACACACACGCUCCCGCUCCCACAUACGUGUGUGGGGUAUCUGGAGACUUGUCCGAGUCCUGGAUCUCGGUGUUUCCUCCAGUGAUCCUUUCAUCGCCUCUAAAGGAGACCCCUUCGAGAGCGCAUCCUGCGGCUGCAUUUUUCCCCUUCGGUUUUCCCCAGUUUUCCUUUUCCUUUUUUUGGGGGGCGGGGGUCAGAGAAGGGGGCGUCAUUUUUUAUUUGCGAAGAACACCAGUAGGGGAGCGGGGGCGCUGGGCAGAAGGAAGGGGUGGUGGUGGUGACAAGAAGGCAGAAGAGAAGAGAAAGUGGGAUGCCAGAGCCCUGGGCUGCGCGUUGGAGGAGGAGGUGGAGGAGGAAGGGGGAGGACGAUGCCGCUGCUUCAUAGGGGAGGAAGGCGAGAGCAAGGGGAAAGGAGCGCUCCGGUGAGCUGGCAGAGGCGAGCCGCGGGGUGCGGAGAAGCGUGCCCGUCACAGCGGCUCCGGCUCGGGCUACAGCUCCGGCAGCCCCCGAUCCAGCCGCCGGAUACCCACCCAGGGCACCCGCAGCCUCCACCGCGAUCCAGAGGCAGGAGCAAAAGUUUGGAUCUCGGGGAGGGAAAAGCGCAAAGAGGGAUUAUGACCAGGGCUGGAAAAGGACUGCAAGAAUCUUCGCAGGUCAGCAUCUCCUAUUAGUGAGAAAAGAUUCCCUUUGUAUAACUCCUGUGAGCACCAGCAGAAUGUACACAUAAGGGCAUUCCAGGUGAGAAAAUAGCAUAACUGAAGGCAAAGAGGUAGAAUUGAGCAUAAUCUAUUAUGAGUAUAGAUCCAAACAGUUUUUUUAAGAGUACAGACACAGGCCUCUGGAGAGAAUAACAGGGUUUAAUGAAUUGAAUGGUUGUGAUUACUAAUGACAGCUCCUCAGCCUUUCACUCCAGACACUUCUGAGUUGAGGGAGCAGAUGAUGUGUAUGUAGGUAGUGCCAUGCCUGGGGUGAGGUGAUUUGGGUUUAUUUCUGCAGGCCCUUGGCUUUUAGAAAGCCAACGGAGUUGGUAGGCAACAACUUGAAGAAGCAAUGGGCAGGAGGAAAAGGAGGUGGUAUUAUUGGUGCCAAAAAUACAGCUAAAGUUUGUAUAUUGGUCUUCAUGCUUUUCUUCAUACGUGACAUUAUAAAUCCAAUCUGUUGCCUAUCACCCAC